GACGAACGCUGGCGGCGUGCUUAACACAUGCAAGUCGAACGGAUUGCUUGGUGCUUGCACUGAGUGGUUAGUGGCGAACGGGUGAGUAACACGUGAGUAACCUGCCCCCUUCUUUGGGAUAAGCACCUGAAAGGGUGUCUAAUACUGAUUAUUCUGCUGGAAUCGCAUGGUUUUGGUUGGAAAGGUUUUUCUGGUGGGGGAUGGGCUCGCGGCUUAUCAGCUUGUUGGUGUGGUAAUGGCUUACAAAGGCUUUGACGGGUAACCGGCCUGAGAGGGUGACCGGUCACAUUGGGACUGAGAUACGGCCCAGACUCCUACGGGAGGCAGCAGUGGGGAAUAUUGCACAAUGGACGAAAGUCUGAUGCAGCGACGCCGCGUGAGGGAUGAAGGCCUUCGGGUUGUAAACCUUUUUCGCUUUUGACCAAGGCAGCAUUUUGGUGUUGUUGAGGGUAUGAGGUAAAGAAGCUCCGGCUAACUACGUGCCAGCCGCCGCUGUAAGAC
rnacentral:rRNA from 1 species